rnacentral:lncRNA from 12 species
CUUCAACUGGAUGUAAUGUAGUUCCUCUGGUUAUCUCUUACUCAGGUUCCUUCUCUAGAGCUGUGGCUACCUUGGACUGAACAGUGAUUGGAUUGAUAGAUGUGUGAUGCCAAUUCAUAGGUUCAGUAUAGAAGCUCUCCUAUUGCCACUGGAUUGUUAGGGUGUCUUCUCCAAAGAAUGCAAGAGUAUUACCCAUCGAUCUUCUCAUCUUAUUCAACCACUCUUACAAAUUGACUAGAGUUCUUUCUUUAUAAAUAUCUUGUAUUUUGACAUGGUUCCAUCACUAAUUGUAUCUCAGUCAUUUCACUUGAAUCACUACAGAGGAGAUAUACAACAAACCUAGUGAACAUGCCCAAUCCUGCUUGAUCUAGCCAUAAAUCUGAAUGUAUUCUUUGCUUAUAACUGGAAGUGAAGCUACUCCACAAGUGUCCUGACUGGUUUGUUUCUAGCUCUUCUUUCUUACCCUAUACGGCUGCACUUGGGGUCUUAUGCCCGUGGUGAUGGUGCAUUCAAGAAAGAAGAUGUGAAAAGAGGUCUGGAAAUGAUCCCAGAGUUCCAUCCUACCAAUAUGAGGCUUGUGAUUUUCUGCAUUUUUUAGGAGAAUUCCUGAAGUCACAAAUCGGUACACAUCAGCAUUUUGCAUAAAAGGAAAACAUCCAUAUCUGACUCAAGCAACGAUGAAAUCAAUACAGAAACAUUUCCAGAGAAGUCCUGCAGGUUUUUUUAUGCAUUAACAGCUAGUAUAUCGUGCAAAAAAAUCUUCUGACUGUUUAAUAAAUCAACUUUAGAUCCACA